rnacentral:rRNA from 1 species
GAUGAACGCUGGCGGCGUGCCUAACACAUGCAAGUCGAACGGAGUCCAGCCUUAGAGACCUUCGGGUCAAAGAGGGGAAGACUGAGUGGCGGACGGGUGAGUAACACGUGGGCAACCUGGCUCAUAGAGGGGGAUAACAGAGAGAAAUUUCUGCUAAUACCACAUAAGCACACACUGCCGCAUGGCAGAGUGUGAAAAGAGAAUCGCUAUGAGAUGGACCCGCGUCUGAUUAGCCAGUUGGCAGGGUAAGAGCCUACCAAAGCGACGAUCAGUAGCCGAUUUGAGAGGAUGAACGGCCACAUUGGGACUGAGACACGGCCCAAACUCCUACGGGAGGCAGCAGUGGGGGAUAUUGCACAAUGGGGGGAACCCUGAUGCAGCGACGCCGCGUGAGUGAAGAAGUAUUUCGGUAUGUAAAGCUCUAUCAGCAGGGAAGAUAAUGACAGUACCUGAAUAAGAAGCCCCGGCUAACUACGUG